rnacentral:rRNA from 1 species
UACGGAGGAUGCAAGCGUUAUCCGGAAUGAUUGGGCGUAAAGCGUCCGCAGGUGGCUGUGUAAGUCUGCUGUCAAAGAGCAAAGCUCAACUUUUGUAAAGGCAGUGGAAACUACACGGGCUAGAGUGCGUUCGGGGCAGAGGGAAUUCCUGGUGUAGCGGUGAAAUGCGUAGAGAUCAGGAAGAACAUCGGUGGGCGAAGGCGCUUCCUUGCUGGACCCUAAAC